UACGGAGGGGGCUAGCGUUGUUCGGAAUUACUGGGCGUAAAGCGCGCGUAGGCGGACCUGCAAGUCGGGGGUGAAAGCCCAGGGCUCAACCCUGGAAUGGCCUUCGAUACUGGAUGUCUUGAGACCGGAAGAGGUUGGUGGAACUGCGAGUGUAGAGGUGAAAUUCGUAGAUAUUCGCAAGAACACCGGUGGCGAAGGCGGCCAACUGGUCCGGUUCUGACGCUGAGGAGCGAAAGCGUGGGGAGCGAACAGG
rnacentral:rRNA from 1 species